rnacentral:rRNA from 1 species
GUGCACGCUGGCGGUAGGCCUAACACAUGCCAGUCGAACGGCAGCACAGUAAGAGCUUGCUCUUACGGGUGGCGAGUGGCGGACGGGUGAGGAAUACAUCGGAAUCUACUUUUUCGUGGGGGAUAACGUAGGGAAACUUACGCUAAUACCGCAUACGACCUACGGGUGAAAGCAGGGGAUCUUCGGACCUUGCGCGAUUGAAUGAGCCGAUGUCGGAUUAGCUAGUUGGCGGGGUAAAGGCCCACCAAGGCGACGAUCCGUAGCUGGUCUGAGAGGAUGAUCAGCCACACUGGAACUGAGACACGGUCCAGACUCCUACGGGAGGCAGCAGUGGGGAAUAUUGGACAAAGGGCGCAAGCCUGAUCCAGCCAUACCGCGUGGGUGAAGAAGGCCUUCGGGUUGUAAAGCCCUUUUGUUGGGAAAGAAAAGCAGCAGGUUAAUACCCCGCUGUUCUGACGGUACCCAAAGAAUAAGCACCGGCUAACUUCGUG